UCAACUCUAAACCAAGACUCCUUUUGUUCUAACUUCUAAGCUCUAUCCAUACACUUGUUAUAUCUUCCAAGAUCUGAAACCAUGGCGGAAUUAAUGGUGGGAGCAGAUUUCGGGUUUGAUGAAUGUUCUCUUUGAUAGGCUUGCUUCUAAAGAUGUCCUUGAAUUCUUUCGAGGAAAUAACAAAGCGAAUCUCAAAAAGUUGAAGAGUAUGUUGCGGUAUUCUGAUGUUCUACUAAAUGAUGCUGAGCAGAAACUUGGAGAUGACAAUGUGAAGAAGUGGCUUGAAGAUCUUAAAGAAGUAGUUUAUGAAGCUCAAUUGCCUGAUUCAAUUGACGUAUCUGUUUGCGUGUUGGAAGCACUCUCAUUGGGAAGUUGCCAAAAACUUACUCAAUUGUCUACUAACAUUUCUGAGCUAAUCUUUCUUCGCUAUCUUUACAUCUUCUAUGACACACCCUUAAAAGAGAUGCUACCGAUGAUUUGCAAUAUGAUCAAAGAGUUGGGUAAGUUGACAAAUCUUCAUGGAAGAUUGUUUAUUUCAAGGCUUGAGUAUGUUAAAGAAGUGAAUGAUGUCUUAAAAGACAGCUUGAUGAAGAAAAAGUUAUCUCACAGAGCUUAUUGUGAAAUUCAUGGUAUUUCUUUAAAUAGUUCUUUUCGAGUUUUAGAAGAGAUACAUCUCAGAAACAUAACUACAUCAGAUUGGUCGUUUAUCAAUACAAAUGAUCAUCACAAUGGUGAGAUUUUCCCUUGUUUGAAGCGAUUUCAUUUGAAUUUACAAAGACUCUCAUCGUUGACUGAGUUAUCACUUUGGAGAUAUGAUCAGGUGGAAGUGAAUUCAUUUCCAGAAGAAUGGGAUCCACAAUUUUGAAGAGUGAUUUGAUGUAAUGAAUGAGUGGAAUCAAUAAGACAGACUUUAAAGACAGAAAAUUGGACAAUUCCAGCCCCCAACAUUUUGUGGCUUAUUUAUACACAAGUAGGCCUUCUUUAAAUUCUCUCUUUGAACAUUAUUGCUGUUGUAAUGUUGUGACAAUUAUCUGUUCUUAAUUUCAUAACAUUGUUUCUGUGCUGUCUUAUUCUCCAAUAGUUAAGUGUGAUGUUUUUUCCUU